rnacentral:rRNA from 1 species
ACCGGGGCGACAGCAAUAUGAAGGUCAGGCUGAAGACCUUACCCGAUUAGCUGAGAGGUGGUGCAUGGCCGUCGUCAGUUCGUACUGUGAAGCAUCCUGUUAAGUCAGGCAACGAGCGAGACCCACGUCCACAGUUGCCAGCAUACCCUCCGGGGUGAUGGGUACACUGUGGAGACCGCCGCUGCUGAAGCGGAGGAAGGAGUGGGCAACGGUAGGUCAGUAUGCCCCGAAUCUCCCGGGCUACACGCGGGCUACAAUGGUUGGUAACAAUGGGCAUCUACCCCGAAAGGGGAAGGAAAUCUCUUAAAGCCAAUCGUAGUUCGGAUUGAGGGCUGCAACUCGCCCUCAUGAAGCUGGAAUCCGUAGUAAUCGCGUUUCAACAGAACGCGGUGAAUACGUCCCUGCUCCUU